rnacentral:lncRNA from 1 species
AUGAGCUUCUUGGCACUCUACAGUGACGACGCUACACCGGGGCUAGGGAGGGCUAAAAUUCUAAAGAAAUGGUGCUCUGAGCCGGCUUAUUUAGUGGUCGGCUCCUCCCCUUCUGGCAGGCUAAUUCUUUGUAAUAAUUUGAAGUAUAAUAAAUAUAGUAAAUAUAUAUAUUUUGUUUUAAGUAAAUCAUUUUUUUUUUCAGUGAAGCAAUCAAUUUAAUAAAUGAAUGAAUGAAUAUAAUAAAAAAGAAAAAAAACACAAUCUUGUUUUUCCUGUUUAAGUUUAUUUUUCUAAGCCCACUGGGGGGAAAAAUAAGUUGUUUGUUGUGUCUUGUUUGAAGCAUAAACUCACUUAAUUUUAAUACUUUUUGGCCUGGUUUCACUGACAGGGCUUAGAUUAAGCCAGGAUUAGGUUAUAGUUCAAUAAGGGCAUUUAAGUAGUUUUUAUAAAUGUAAUUAGCCCCGUCAGAAUUUUUAAUAGCCCCAGUUUAGCCAUCUAAACUCCCCCACCCCACCCACCACCGCCGCCAGAUGAGAUGGGCCGUUUUUUGAUAUAGAAAACAAGAGUGCAGGUUGGAAACCAUGUCUCUGAGGGGGCCAAAGAAGGAGAAUAUAAAGAAUAGUCAGAGAGAGCAACUAGCACUAGCAUAGUAGUUAUCGUGCUGAUUGAUUUGAGCCAGUCACCAGUGGAAGAACCAAGACGCCCUCUUCUACAACAUUAUCCAGCCACAAAAGUUGGACUGCAGGAUCAAUACUUUAAUCGUAGAUGGUAUGAGGAUUACAACUGGCUGGAAAAUUCUAUUUUAAAGGACUGUGCUUUCUGCUUCGCAAUGCUGCAACUUUCAACGUCCAGGAAACCAUGGAGUGAAGACAGCAUUUAUCCAGGACGGCUACCAUAUAUAUAUAAUAAUAAUAAUAUAAUAAUAUAUAUAUAUAUAAUAUAAAUUAAAACUACACUUCUGUUAAAUAUGGUGUGUACCGUAGCUGCUUUUAUUUAAACAAAACGACAAUUGCUUUAACUCUGACAUCAUCAAUAUAAUUUAUUUUCUUAGCACCCCCACCCCACAUAUUGGUCUGGUGCUAUUUUUUUAUUCACAGUACAAUCAGAUGACUGACUUUUAAACCGAGUGCUUUUUCUGUAAAGAUAACAGGGUUAUACUUAUAGUGGAGUGUUUAUUUGCAAAGGCUAGCACCGAUAUUGCUGGAGCUUGAGCUCUUGAAGCUCCGCCCUCUUCUCUGGGAGCACCAGCUCAUUUGCAUUUAAAGGGAAAGACACCAAAAUGGCGCGUUUUGGCUCAUACCCUAAGGCUACGUCCACAUGAAGCGAGAGCUUUCCCUAUACAAUCUUUUUUUUUUUUCUUGUCUCAAGAAAUAUCUGCAUCCACACAAAACCACAAAAUGAUGUAGUAUAAAUGCCAGACAAGCAUGUGGCGCUGUAAUUCUGCCACACAGAUACACUAAAAACAGAGAAGAAGACUUGGACUAUGAGCAGAAACCUUGCGUGCGCUAUACAAAUGAACAUGGAACAAUACAUUUAUUAAUCUGUGUUAAUGUUAGUUAAUAAAACGACAAUCGUUCAGUGUUUGUUCAUGUUUUUGUUGCUGUUACGUGAUGUAGCGGUAUCUGACUAGGGGCGAGACGUGGGCUGAUGAUGUCAUCGUUUCAGAUAACAUACGGAUUCGCUGUCCACACGAAAACACAAAGGUAGCUCUUUCAAAUAAAUUCACUUUGGGACCCAGUUUAAAAAAAAUAUUGGUUUCACUCUUCCAAAAUGCCAGAUCCGUGUGGACGAAAUGCCUAUAUGAUACAAAAUGUAUGCAUUUACAGCAAAACACAUCUCUGUGUGGACGGGGCCUAAAAGUGCCAAUUUUAACAAGCUAUAUAUAUAUAUAUAUAUAUAUAUAUAAUAAAAUCUGGUAAGUUAGUUUUAUAUAUAUAUAUAUAUAUAUAUAUAUAAAAAAUCUGUAAGGUAUUUUUGAGUUUAAACUUCACUAUACGGGGGACAUCAGAGACUUAUUUUACAGGA